UACGUAGGGUGCGAGCGUUGUCCGGAAUUAUUGGGCGUAAAGAGCUCGUAGGCGGUCUGUCGCGUCGGCUGUGAAAACCCGGGGCUCAACCCCGGGCCUGCAGUCGAUACGGGCAGACUAGAGUGCGGUAGGGGAGACUGGAAUUCCUGGUGUAGCGGUGAAAUGCGCAGAUAUCAGGAGGAACACCGGUGGCGAAGGCGGGUCUCUGGGCCGUAACUGACGCUGAGGAGCGAAAGCGUGGGGAGCGAACAGG
rnacentral:rRNA from 1 species